GGAUCCAGACUUUGAUCCUGGCUCACGAUGAACGCUAGCUACAGGCUUAACACAUGCAAGUCGAGGGGAAACGACAUCGAAAGCUUGCUUUUGAUGGGCGUCGACCGGCGCACGGGUGAGUAACGCGUAUCCAACCUGCCCAUCACUUGGGAAUAACCUUGCGAAAGUAAGACUAAUACCCAAUGAUAUCCCACGAAGGCAUCCGAAUGGGAUUAAAGAUUUAUCGGUGAUGGAUGGGGAUGCGUCUGAUUAGCUUGUUGGCGGGGUAACGGCCCACCAAGGCAACGAUCAGUAGGGGUUCUGAGAGGAAGGUCCCCCACAUUGGAACUGAGACACGGUCCAAACUCCUACGGGAGGCAGCAGUGAGGAAUAUUGGUCAAUGGGCGAGAGCCUGAACCAGCCAAGUAGCGUGCAGGAUGACGGCCCUAUGGGUUGUAAACUGCUUUUAUAAGGGAAUAAAGUGGGUCACGUGUGACUUUUUGCAUGUACCUUAUGAAUAAGGACCGGCUAAUUCCGUGCCAGCAGCCGCGGUAAUACGGAAGGUCCGGGCGUUAUCCGGAUUUAUUGGGUUUAAAGGGAGCGUAGGCCGGAGAUUAAGCGUGUUGUGAAAUGUAGAGGCUCAACCUCUGCACUGCAGCGCGAACUGGUCUUCUUGAGUACGCACAACGUGGACGGAAUUCGUGGUGUAGCGGUGAAGUGCUUAGAUAUCACGAAGAACUCCGAUUGCGAAGGCAGCUCACGGGAGCGCAACUGACGCUGAAGCUCGAAAGUGCGGGUAUCGAACAGGAUUAGAUACCCUGGUAGUCCGCACGGUAAACGAUGGAUGCCCGCUGUUGGCCUGAAUAGGUCAGCGGCCAAGCGAAAGCAUUAAGCAUCCCACCUGGGGAGUACGCCGGCAACGGUGCAACUCAAAUGAAUUGACGG
rnacentral:rRNA from 1 species